rnacentral:rRNA from 1 species
AACGAACGCUGGCGGCAGGCCUAACACAUGCAAGUCGAACGGGAUCUUCGGAUCUAGUGGCGGACGGGUGAGUAACGCGUGGGAACGUGCCCUUUGGUUCGGAAUAGCCCUGGGAAACUGGGAGUAAUACCGGAUACGGUCGAGAGACGAAAGAUUUAUCGCCGAAGGAUCGGCCCGCGUUGGAUUAGGUAGUUGGUGGGGUAAUGGCCUACCAAGCCGACGAUCCAUAGCUGGUUUGAGAGGAUGAUCAGCCACACUGGGACUGAGACACGGCCCAGACUCCUACGGGAGGCAGCAGUGGGGAAUCUUAGACAAUGGGGGAAACCCUGAUCUAGCCAUGCCGCGUGAGCGAUGAAGGCCUUAGGGUUGUAAAGCUCUUUCAGCUGGGAAGAUAAUGACUGUACCAGCAGAAGAAGCCCCGGCUAACUCCGUGCCAGCAGCCGCAGUAACAC